AUGAAGAGAAGCAAUCUUUAUGAGGACAGUCAAGGCUCUUCUGACCUGGUAAUGAAUAAAGAGCAAAUGGAACAGAGGAGGACCAAGGAACACAAGCAAAAACACAGAAAUUCCAGCGAAUUGGACACACAGGCUUUGGAAGAACUCAAAACGCAAUUUAAAAAACAAGCACUGGGCUAAGCAUUGAGGAUACAAAGAAAAGAAAAUGGACUGCAGAAGUGGAAUACAGAAGUGAAAGAGUGUCAAGGAAUUGAAACUCAGGAUGAAUGAGAUGGUAAUGAUCUACCUAGCUUCCCUCCAUGAGUUCAAAUCAUCAAUUCCAGAAUGUAUUCCAGGACAAUAAAGGAUGCUGUCCUCAGAUAUUUUCUUUGAAA
rnacentral:lncRNA from 1 species